GAACCAGCAGCUCCCAUGAGAUAGAUCAGAAGCGAGAAUGUUGACAUAAGUAGCGACAAAGAGGGUGAGAGACCCUCUCGCCGUAAGUCCAAGGGUUCCUGCUUAAAGCUAAUCUGAGCAGGGUAAGCCGGCCCCUAAGGCGAGGCCGAAAGGCGUAGUCGAUGGGAACCACGUUAAUAUUCGUGGGCCAAUGGGAAGUGACGGAUCUGAAAGAUUGUUCGCCCUUAUCGGAUUGGGCGGGCCGUUCACAGGUUCCAGGAAAUAGCCCCAUAUCAGACCGUACCCUAAACCGACACAGGUGGACUGGUAGAGUAUACCAAGGCGCUUGAGAGAACCACAUCAAAGGAACUCGGCAAAAUGCCUCCGUAAGUUCGCGAGAAGGAGGCCCCAUAUGUACGCAAGUAUGUGUGGGGGGCACAAACUAGGGGGUGGCGACUGUUUACUUAAAACACAGGGCUGUGCGAAGCCGUAAGGCGACGUAUACAGUCUGACGCCUGCCCGGUGCUGGAAGGUUAAAGGGAGGGGUGCAAGCUCUGAACUGAAGCCCCAGUAAACGGCGGCCGUAACGAUAACGGUCCUAAGGUAGCGAAAUUCCUUGUCGGGUAAGUUCCGACCUGCACGAAUGGCGUAACGAUCUCCCCGCUGUCUCUGAUGUGGACUCAGCGAAAUUGAACUGUCUGUCAAGAUGCAGACUUCCCGCGGUUAGACGGAAAGACCCCAUGCACCUUUACUCUAGCUUUGCAUUGGCAUCAGGAUUGUGAUGUGCAGGAUAGGUGGUAGGCAUCGAAACCGGGACGCCAGUCUCGGUGGAGCCUCCCUUGAGAUACCACCCUUUGCGCUUCUGAUGUCUAACCGCGGCCCGUUAUCCGGGUCCGGGACCUUGCAUGGUGGGGAGUUUGACUGGGGCGGUCGCCUCCCAAAUCGUAACGGAGGCGCGCGAAGGUAGGCUCAGACCGGUCGGAAAUCGGUCGUUGAGUGCAAUGGCAGAAGCCUGCCUGACUGCAAGUCUGACAAGACGAGCAGAGACGAAAGUCGGUCAUAGUGAUCCGGUGGUCCCAAGUGGGUGGGCCAUCGCUCAACGGAUAAAAGGUACGCUGGGGAUAACAGGCUGAUAGUGCCCAAGAGUCCAUAUCGACGGCACUGUUUGGCACCUCGAUGUCGGCUCAUCUCAUCCUGGGGCUGGAGCAGGUCCCAAGGGUAUGGCUGUUCGCCAUUUAAAGAGGUACGUGAGCUGGGUUUAGAACGUCGUGAGACAGUUCGGUCCCUAUCUGCCGUGGGUGUAGGAGACUUGCGAAGAGUUGCCCCUAGUACGAGAGGACCGGGGUGAACGAACCACUGGUGGACCAGUUGUCGUGCCAACGGCAGUGCUGGGUAGCUAUGUUCGGACAGGAUAACCGCUGAAGGCAUCUAAGCGGGAAGCCCCCUUCAAAACAGGUCUCCCUUGAGAGCCGUGGAAGACCACCACGUCGAUAGGCCGGAGAUGUACGUGCAGCAAUGCAUUCAGUUGACCGGUACUAAUUGCUCGAAAAA
rnacentral:rRNA from 1 species